GAGCAAUCGGUGCAGUAGGUAUCCCUCGUCGACACGGGAGCCAACUGUUGAGUACAUUAGUUCGAUUUGUCACAUUUGAUAGAUGGUCAAGGAACGUCAAGUUCAAAUUCGCUCCGUCAGCCUUUUCUGACAUCAGUCUAUUAGCAAUCUCUUCAACGGUAGACGUGUACAAUUAAGCACAUCUAUUGGGUUGCUUACAAAUAAGAGUUCGUUCUGUAGUGGUUAGAAUUAUAAACGGACACUAAAUCUUCGAGCUGAACUGAACUGCAACUAGCGUGUUCUCUGCUUCCAGGAUUAAUCCGAGUUCUAAUCACCACGUACAAACAUUUUCCCAAAAUAUGGUGGAUUUUGAUGUACACUACCUUAAAUGCCAAUUGUUUGAAGAUUGACCCAAUCUCACCCCUUAGAGGGGGUGACAUUGGGUCAAAUGAAACUAAAAUAAUGC